UCAGUGUCACUGUUACUGUGUUUGAAUUUCUUUCACUCCACAGUUUUGAUGAAAUCAGAGUAGCUCUUGUGUGUGAGUGAAUUUUUUGCUGGCCAAAUAUGUGAGCAUGUAUUCUAAUGACUUGGGUUUCAGAUAGAGCCUCCAAAACUGACUAAUAAAAUGCCCAUUAAACUAGAGGCUGAGAUAUAUUUUUGUAGCUUGUUGAGAUUCUAGCACAUACUGCAAUUCAUAAGAUAAUAAAUGUGAAAUGGAUUUGAUGCUUACCCACCUGAACAUUUCUGAGUUAAAAAAAUAAAAGAUUGAUAGACAGCGCCGUCUCUUUUUUACAACUAAUAAGCUUCUAGCUCAUUAAGUUAUUACAUGCCAUUCCUCAUCUAACAAAUAGAAUCCAUAAUUCAGUUUUUCCCAGAGUUGCACAUUCUUUAAGUCUACAGACUAAAUCACCAGAGCACAUUUUGUCAAUAAAGCUUCUGUUUGGUGGGGGAAGGAGGGGGCAGUUAAGUAAAGUAAUAUGAAAUGCAAUCCAUUCUUGGUGUCAGAGGUCAUUUAUUUGCUUCAAUAUUGCUUUUAUUCUAUUAAUACAUUCACUAAAUAAUGAUUAUUAUUGAAAGUCCAUGGUUAUUCACUGCAUUAUAUUUAAAAUGUUUUACGUUUUGUUGCAGGCUCCUACACUUGGGAAUCUUUAGUGUAAUCUUGAGAAGUAAACUGUGCUUUUACAAUGAAUUCUUGACAAUGUAUUAGUUCAGCUCUGCCUUUACUGAGGGAUAAAGGCUUUCUUCUAUGAGCAGUGGGAAAGCCACAGAGGCAAACAAAAAACCAGCCAUGUUCUGCAGCCCUGAACCAAAGACUUGUCACUUCCUGAGCCAGAGCUGCCCAGCACAGAUGCAGGCAGCCAAUGACACCUUCAGCAUGGAAAGUUAGAUGGGACUAAUUUGUGUUCUAAACCAAGGUUCCAGCACUGCUCUUCUCACCAGAGCUUGAAGAGGGAUUGCUGUGCUCUGUUGGAAUCUAGAGCUGUGAGCAGUUGUCAUUUUCACCAGAGGGAGAAGAAGCAUUCCCUGCCCCAAAGUGUCCAGGGGGUUUAUGGUUCAAUUUCUGCAGGCAUCCAGGAAUUAAUGUCACCUCUACAGAGAUCACUCAGAGCUGCUGUCAUGGUGCAAAAUCCAUCUCUGAAGAAGAUGCAGUUCCUGUGUGUCCAGUUUCUGCAGUGGUCCCUGACAACUCCAGCAGAGCAGGCACCUCUAGACCCACACUGCUGACACCCCUGGCCUUGAAACCUUGCUCAGGAUAUAUCCUGCCUUCCAAAAUGGGAAUUGUGCUGCUGAGGCUGCAUUAGCAUCCUUAGCUAAGCUCUGAAAGGAAGGCUCACUAGACCAUCAUGGAAAUGAAUGAGUCAACAAUGCUUUUCUUUACCAAAUCAUUUAUAAAAUCUGAUUUUUCUAGAUAGCUAGAUAAGGAAAUAUUCAGAAUUCUGAUGGAGUUUCCUAACCCACUGUCAAUCUUGUCUGUGACUGUAGCCUGUGUAAUUUAAUUAGCCAUUUAUUAGUUUUGUACUUAAAUAGCAAUGAGCUGAAAGCACUGAAAAUAUUCACAAUAACCAGAAAAGCAGACUGGUAACGGAGGGUCUUCUGUAACUUCUGACACCUCCUGAGAGGCCCUUACACUAAAUUUAUACAGGACUUUUGAGCUCUUGCUUUAUGUUUAAAUAAAUAAAUAAAUAACAUAAUUUUAUUAUCUUUA
ensembl:lncRNA